UCCCGUUUGAAUGGUUUUACACUAGUAAUUUUGGGGCCGUUUAUAGCUUAUUGUUCGGUGUGAACCAAAGCUCCAAGUUGAAGGUCGUACAAUGACUUAUAAUGGUUUACUUUUAUAAAUUGUUAUUUGGAUGGAGAACUGUCUCACUGGCAGUCACACCACAUCUUCCUAUAUCUAUUAAGUCAUGCCACUUUAGUUGAGUUUCCU
rnacentral:lncRNA from 1 species